CAGCUGUGUGCCAGAAGGGGGGGAGCCUGGCUGCACCUCUCCUAGACCUAUUUAAGAGCUGGCUGCCAGUGUGAAAGGGUCUGUUUUUGGAGAUCCCUCAGUUUGAAGUUUUCCAGUGAGCCCAGGACAAGGGAGAUCACAGCACAUGAAUAAUGAGUGAGGGGACCCUGAUAAAACAACUCUGAAGACUGCACCAGCCUUUUAGUGCACUGUAGCAUGGAUGCAACCUGCAAUAGUACACAGUGUCCUCCAACUGGUCAUAUGGGACCGGGCUGCUUAGGUGGAGGGGACGCGUCCCACACAACUUGACUCGGCUACAGCGUUCAGAACGUUACCGACAAGGAGAGCACAGUUACAGGCAUACGUUUGUAAGUCUGCAAUCUGCAGUACUGCUGCUGUGUUUAUAAGGAUGCUAGUGCCAGAGGCCUUCAAGGAUCAUACUUUUGCAAAAAAAAGAAUUCUCCUCCCCUGUUUGAGGUCCCAUUGAACAGACUUACCCAAAAGGCCUCUGUAUGAGAGCUGGAUGAAGCUGCUGAACACCAAAGGCAAAACCUACCAAGGAAAACACAUCACAUUCUCCAUAUGAGUUUCCUUUGGCUAUUUGCCACACACACGCACACAAACGCAGGGUAAUGGCCUCCAGUGGUGAUGUCUCUAAGGCUGGAGAACCACAGACCAGAAAGCAAAACACAUCGGUCCCUACACACACACGCACACAGACAUCCAUGCAGAAAUUAAAACAGUGAAGCUCACGCUUCCCUAGUGGUGUUUAGAAGAAUGACUCUGGCUAAAUAACGAGUAGAAAGUUUUCAUUAACUUUUGAUUUUAUGCUCCAUUCUGGUCCUUACUGUCCAUCUAUACAUGGCCCUUUUUAACCAUCGGUGUAUCUGUGCUGUUUUUACAGACUUAAGCCUUAGCCUUCUCCCCAUGAGGAUUUAGCAGGGCUUCAAAUCCUUGACUUUGUUUCUGCUCUCCAAAUGCCCAAGCACAAAAUCCCUUUCCUGUGUGGGCACAGAACUGCUCACAGCGCUCCCUGGGCUCAACACCUUCAGAGCACAGAUGUUUACACAUGCUGUGCUCAAAGCUCUCUCAGGGUGCGAGGCAGCACUUUGGGAAGUGGCAAGGACAUCAGAUUGGCUCAGAUGUGGCCUUGGGAAAUGCUAUUUUAUUUUAAAAUCCUUCCCAUAGCUCCCAUCUGUUUUAGGACUUUCCUUUAAGAUACUGUUGGUAUUAAUAAGACCACACACACUCGAAGCGAUUCAUUCCCAGGCCACUGUUUCCCUGCAAUGAUACUGUAAAUGGUCAGCUCCUCCACGUUCCCAGCAAUGGAAAUAGCCAAUGAAGAAUCUGAACUGUGCAAAUCCUCCUGGAGAACUUGGGAUAUUGUAUCUCCAGUUGCUUUUGGUGCUUAAACAAAUAACCACAAAGUUACUGCGUGCUGCCUUUAGAGACAAAAGCACACCUGACCCUCCAAUGCGCUUCAGGGGAGUGUGGCCCAGCACUACCUUUCCCAAAGCUCAACUCCCUUCAGGAACCCAAGGUGCACGCAGGGCCGCGUCCUCACCUGGCUGCAUGAUCCUCGGCUUGGCACCCAAGUACGCCAGGUUGACAUUGGCCUUCCUACCAUCGAUGAUGGGGUUGGGGUCCUUACACGCUCGUUCGGCAGCGGCUCUGUCGGCCAUGGUGACCUUCAGGGGCGAGGCUCCGCGUUAGAUCUCUCCCUCGGGGCGACUGGGAGAAGUCCCCCGCCCCGGUUCAGCCG